rnacentral:rRNA from 1 species
GAUGAACGCUGGCGGCGUGCCUAAUACAUGCAAGUCGAGCGAACAGAUGAGGAGCUUGCUCCUCUGACGUUAGCGGCGGACGGGUGAGUAACACGUGGAUAACCUACCUAUAAGACUGGGAUAACUUCGGGAAACCGGAGCUAAUACCGGAUAAUAUAUUGAACCGCAUGGUUCAAUAGUUAAAGACGGUUUUGCUGUCACUUAUAGAUGGAUCCGCGCCGCAUUAGCUAGUUGGUAAGGUAACGGCUUACCAAGGCGACGAUGCGUAGCCGACCUGAGAGGGUGAUCGGCCACACUGGAACUGAGACACGGUCCAGACUCCUACGGGAGGAAGCAGUAGGGAAUCUUCCGCAAUGGGCGAAAGCCUGACGGAGCAAAGCCGCGUGAGUGAUGAAGGUCUUCGGAUCGUAAAACUCUGUUAUUAGGGAAGAACAAAUGUGUAAGUAACUAUGCACGUCUUGACGGUACCUAAUCAGAAAGCCACGGCUAACUACGUG